AGCGAACGCUGGCGGCAGGCUUAACACAUGCAAGUCGAGCGGACCUUUCGGGGUCAGCGGCGGACGGGUGAGUAACGCGUGGGAACGUGCCUUCCGGUUCGGAAUAACCCUGGGAAACUAGGGCUAAUACCGGAUACGCCCUUAUGGGGAAAGGUUUACUGCCGGAAGAUCGGCCCGCGUCUGAUUAGCUAGUUGGUGGGGUAACGGCAUACCAAGGCGACGAUCAGUAGCUGGUCUGAGAGGAUGAUCAGCCACACUGGGACUGAGACACGGCCCAGACUCCUACGGGAGGCAGCAGUGGGGAAUAUUGGACAAUGGGCGCAAGCCUGAUCCAGCCAUGCCGCGUGAGUGAUGAAGGCCUUAGGGUUGUAAAGCUCUUUUAUCCGGGACGAUAAUGACGGUACCGGAGGAAUAAGCCCCGGCUAACUUCGUG
rnacentral:rRNA from 1 species